UCAGUGCGAAUUCGGCGCAUGACGGUGACGGAACAACGGCGAGUAGUACGACGACUCCAAUUAUUAUUAUUAUUCAUUGUAAAGCCGUAGCAAAAUAGUUGUGGCGAAUAGUUGUUAUUUAGCGAAAAAUUACUCGGUUUCUCAUGUAUUAAUUUCCGAUUAAAAUCUUAAAAUAAACGUCAGUCAUGAUAUUGCAUGAAAUCAAGUGUGAUGUUUGUACAUACAUACAUAAAUUACCGUUAGUUUUGUUAAUACAAUAAAAUGACAGCAGUGUGUCAUCGCGCAAAGUCUUGGCAAUAUUCGGCAAAACGUGUGAAGAAAGCUUGUUUUUGUCAACGUAUGCGCUUACGUCAAACCCGUUUAAUUGGUGUUAGAAAACAGCUGAUGCCGUGUCGACAACAACAGAAGUGAACAACUGUGUGGAGAAACCAAAAUCAAAACAAAAGAGAAUAGAAAUAACAGAAAAUUAAAAUAAAAUAAAACAGUUUUCGUAACUACGGAUUUAUAUAACAAUAAAAACUAUGCAACUAAAAUAAGAAAUCGGCAAUGUCAUUACUUAUAUAGUAUAUGUGUAAAUAUAUAUAUAUAUAUUUAUUAUAUAUAUGUAAAAUAUGGACUAUGCAUAUCCAUAAAGCGCCAGCUGUCAGUUGACUAAUCGAGCGCGCUGCAACGGACAUAUAAGCAAACAGCAGCGCGCAAUUCCACGCCGCGCGCCCAUUAGUUAAUCCCAGCUGUUAGCAGGCCAAAGCGCCGUGAAAGCGACUGAUCGCCGUUGAGUGCGUGUGUGUGUGUUAGACAGCGCGCGUGUACAAAAGCAGCGUUGCUUGCCUAAGAAUUGGUGCGACUGCUCGAUCGACCGCGUCGUCGGCGCGUGUUUAUCAUGUUUAAUUAGCUCAGACGUCCCUAAUUAAACAAGUGAAAACCAAAGUUCGAUAAAAAUUCAAUAAAAAAAUUCAAAUAAAUUAUAAUAAAUAAACUCAUAAACCACAAUUUGACAGCCAAUGGUAAACAGUUUGAUUGGCCAAGCAGCAACGUUGAAUUGUUUCAUAACUACAGAAACGCCUAAUACCAAAAACUGCAAAUUAAACAUGUCCAACGCUUUACAAAACCCCGUUGACAUUGUGUCGCUGCCGCGCAAUAGUUCGGACUCGCAUAUUGAGCGUUUAAACGCGCAGAAAAAUGAGUCCAAACUGUUUCUCAUCAAGUCGUACAGCUUCAUCGAUAAAUCACUAAAAAGUCAUGCGCUGCCGCAGAAGUUUAAGCAGCGCGCAGAGAAUUUUACUAGUUUUCGCCAUAUAGACGCCCUGCUACUCGACGCUGCGAACGUAAAACUACCAGCAAGUGCCAAAAAUGAACAAAAUAAAACAAAGGCGAAAGCGCAAAAAUGCAAAGCGAACAGGACCAAUUCGGACGAGGAAGAGGAUUACCGUGCUUUGCUGCGACAUCCCUCCGUUAUUAUGGAGGGGGUGGUGAGUGAAAUGCAUGUGCGUCCGAAAUCGAUGCCAAGUGCGGCAAUGACAAGCACGCGGCCGCCACCAGACCCGGCGGCGCCACCGCCGCCUACAGGGAAAUCGAACAAAUCCAAACAAAAUGACUUCAAACGCGAGUCAUUCUUGCGUCACAGCUUUCAAUCGAUACGCCGCAGCUUCAGCGCGCAUAAGAAGUUUGCCGGUUUCGGGCACAAUGCCACAAAUGGCAACGCAACUAAUAAAGCCGAGCGUGCGAAGGCAACUAAAACUUGCACAUCCUCAUCUUCAUCAUCAUCAUCAUCAUCGACGACGUCAACCACCUCCUCCACCACCUCGACCGCGUCAGCGGCCUCCAGACAUUCGGGCAGCAACGGUAAAGCGUGUAAUAAAAGUGAAAAAGUUGGCAUUAUUAUUAAGCUGAAUGACAAUACCGCCUGUUGGGCGGACGGAACAGGCGAAAUUGGCUGCUGUGAAAUCGGGAAUGUUGGUAUUGAGAGCAAGUUAAGGGCGCGGGGAAAGGAAUUGUGUGCAAGCGUCAGUACAUAUGCUGCAACUCCCAACGAUUCUACUUCCAUGGCACCAUUGCAAAGUCACACUGAAACGCAGAGUGUCACGACAUUAAACUUGCAGGACAAAGAAACCUCGCCAAACAGCAGUAAAUCGAGCAGCUCGAGCAGAACACAGUCGACGCAAAAGCAAAAUCAACAACAACAUAAGCGACAGAGCUCCAAUCAAAGUGAUUAUUACAACACUGCCUAUUCGACAACGUCAGACAGUUCAACGCAGAAUCUGAACAAUUGUCUAGUCGACGUCAGGUCUUUGAACACCAUAGCGCCGAGCGGUUACACUGUCAGCACACGCAGCCUCAGCCCAACGUCCCGUAAGAGUGCUACUAACACCACGGCGAAGCAUGAGCAAUCGACUGCGGCAGCAACAGCUGCUGCCGCCGCUACAACAGCGGUGCCUGCCGAGAAGGAGAAGAAGCGUAAAGAGGUCUCCAGUUCGCGUGUGAAGAAAUUCCAUCGACACUUUACGCAGGUGUCCAAAGAUGAGAAGCUCAUCAACUAUUUUUCUUGUGCACUUGUUAGUGACAUACUGCUGCAAGGACAUCUUUAUAUAACAGAUCAGCAUUUUGCAUUCUAUUCAAAUGUGUUUGGUUAUGUUACCAAGGUUGUCAUACCCACGUCGUCCGUCACGAAGAUCUCCAAGGAGAAGUUGGCGAAAAUUAUACCGAACGCCGUGGGUGUCGCCACCGCCGAUGAGCGGCAUGUCUUCGGUAGUUUUAUGAGCCGCGAGGCAGCCUUCCGUCUAAUGUGUAGCGUUUGUCCGCCAUUAGCACCUAUUGAAAAUCUUCCAAAAGCACCCGCAGACAUUGAAAUUUCCGAAGAAUACUCAAUCGAGGAUGACAGCAGUUGUUCGAUUAGCGGCAACGAGAGUCCACCACAAGCUCUAGUUGCAGCAGUCACGGCUAAUGCUGGCGAAAUCGAUGAACUUGGCCAAACGCUGAUACACCGCAAUGUAGCGGGCUCCAGUGUGAGCAUUGCUGAUGGCACCGCAGCAACAAAUGAAAACCAUCGACAUUCCGAUAUUCCAACAGAUGCCAAACAAGCCGGCGCUUUUUCCAACACAAAUAUGCGCGCUUCAGCGCCACCCUCGGCACGCUACAACUCCAACCACGGCAAAACUACCAGCGGUGCAGACUGUACACCGAUUGCAAAUGCCAGCAGCAGUGAUGGCUUGGCGACUGCCGGUAUUGCGCUAAUUGUGACCGGCACCAAUACGUCGGGCUCAUCGUCGCCCACACCGUCAACAUCUUCCUCGCUGCCAAUCACAGUGAUGGGCAGCACACCUAAGUCAGCAGGGCAUGCGGCUGUGUCGAGCUUCAAGACGCUGACACAGAAGGCGCUGCUGCGCUUGAAAUUCCCCAAGGAAUUACAUGUCGUUUACUUAGGUGUGCUGCUUACUAUGGUACUGGCGCUAUUUUCUGUUUUUCUGCUCUAUCGAAUACUGGACAUUGAGGCGAAAACGAGCGCAUACCGCUCUCCAAAUGAGUUCAAUUGGCAGCGCACCGGCAGCGAUGACGAUAUAUUUGCGGAGGCUUUGCGUUGGCAAAAAGAACUGCAAGCUAAAAGCACCGAAGAAGCUCAAGAUAUACUUACACACAAUUUAGAGCAGAUUGCCAAGGUGCGUCGCAGCCUAGAAACGCUCUCAAUGUUAAUCCAUGACAGAAGCUCAGCUCAUGAACAGCGUGACGAAAGUGACUGAAUUUAUAUUUCUAAUUAAUUUUAAAUACAAUUCAACCGUAAAAGGAAAGGGUACGAGCCUUUCACACACACACACAUACAUACAUACUACAUAAUACUUUUAAGCUGGUAAACUACGAUUAAAUUGAAGCAGUUAUACUUACUAUAAUGAAAUAAAUUCAAAAUAAGCACUACAUACAAACAUAAAAGAAAAAAAAGCAGCAAUUGGAAAGCGUAAAGUGAAAAAGUGCGUAGGAAAUGCGGCAAUGCAGCGCGCAAAAGAAGUUACAUACACAAAGGAUUAAAAAAGGAAAUGCCAGCUUGGGGACAGCUGGAGACACAAUGCACCUAAGUUGCCUCAGACCAUUCAGCUCCUUCAAGGAUUCUACACUUGAAUACCGGAAAUUGAAAAAAACAUGCUGGCCGAUUCUUCCAUUUAACCCUCAUGUGCAUCCAUUUACAAAUAUUUUGCCGUACCCCAAAAAACAAAAAAAAAAAAAUAAAAAAUAAAAUAAAACUGCUGCGCUGCGCUAUUGUCUGCAAAUAAAUGAAAAAAAUUAAGCAAGCAUGGUAUUUUCACCUGUAAACCGCAAAAAUAAUUUAUUACGCAAGCGGUAAAAGCAACUAAGUGUUAAAGUAAAUUAUAUUGUAAAAAUAAGAACAAAAAGUGCGCCAGCUGCGUGGCAUAAAGCGCUGGCGAUAAAAACUAAAAACAAAGUCUUAUAUAUACUACAAUAACAACAACAACAAAAAGCAAAACGGCAAAAGCCAAAGGAGAAAAGAGAAACACUUUCAGUAACAAACCUAGAAGCUGGGACAUGGUGCAAUGUUGGAGACGCCUGUGGCCCGAUGCGCAGUCGCCGCCGCGGCUGCCGCAAGCCACGCGUUACACAAAAUUACUAAUUAUAGACAAGCUCUCAUGUGCUAACUCGAUCAAAAAAUGUGACGGAGUGUCGCACAUGAACAUUCAAUUCAAACUUCUUUCGGCGCCUUAACCCUCAUUUCCCAUACACACAUACACACACAUGAAAUUAGAGAAAAGCUUAAGAUUUGACAAAUCAAAGCAUGCAAUUUCCCCGCGCGUCUUCUCACACACACACACAACAUUCGCCACCUAUAAGCAUGUUUUUAAACCACACUCUCAAUUUGCUAUUUUCCGCUUGGCAAGCUUCGGCGAUUUUUCUUCUCUUUUUGUACACAAACAAAAGCAAAAAGAACGAAAGAAAUGCAAGAAAAUCCCUAAAACUUAUUUUCGGCCUGGAAGUUUAGAGCGAAAGAUUCCCCUGUGAUACAAACAAACAUGCGUACAUGCAUACAUACAGACAUACAUAUGUAUUAAAUUGAUUUUUAUUAAGUAAGAAAAUGAAAUUUGCGAUUUAAAGUAAAUCUUAAGUGUAGCUGAAAUAUUUAUACAUUUUUAAUUGAUUACGAAAUUAUGAAAUAAGUUUGCGAAUUUUGUUACCUUUUCCGGUGUAAUUUAUUAGUUGUAAUUACAAAUACUUCUGGCAAAUUAAAAGCCUAACAGCACCUAGAUAAAUAAGUAUAUGUGCAUGUAUUUUAACGCAUUAUAUAAUAUGCUGCAGACACUCUUUCCCGCUGCUUUGUGCUUUCGACUCUAAGAACAAAAAUGUUCAUAAAAAAUAAUGUGUAUUUAUUACUGUUGUAAUUAAAAGUAAUUAAAUGUAUUUGUGAACUAAAAUAAAAACAAAGUCAGCUACUUCGUGUAAUUUGCAUGUGUUAGUGCAGUGGAAAGCGGAAGUAAUAGUUUUUAAGACAAAAUCCAAGUGAAGAGAUUUUGUAUGCGUUAUUUCUGCGUUUUUGUAUGAUUAAAAGCAACAUACUACGUAAUAAUUAGAAACUAGAAGAAGCAGCUGGUCCCCAUUAAUAUAUGAUACUUCCAUAAAAAGAAAUCUAAAAGCGUGAAAAUGAACAUAAUCAAAAGAAACGAGGAAAGAAGACGAAUAUGAAUUUCUAUUUGAAAGAAAUUAAUAGAAUUUAAAAACAAUUCAAAAAUGUAAAAGUAAACAAAAAUAUUUAAAUAUUUAAAUAUUUUUGCUAACUUAAUUGGCUUCUAGAUUAGCUGAGUAAGAGAGACUACAAAUAUGGUAGAGAAAUUGAAAUAAAAAGAAAAACAACUUGAGAAAUUAUUACAAACAAACAAAAAGCAAAAAUAUAAAAUAAACAGAAAUUAAACACAGAAAUACAUAAAAAUUGUAAACCGACCCAAAGGUUGAUAUGGUUCGCAUGUAGCUUACAAGAAAACAUUCAUAAAUAAUCGAAAACAGAAUAUUCGCAAUAAAUUAUGCAAUAUAGCGCAAACAUGAAAAUUUAAAUAAAAAA
rnacentral:misc_RNA from 1 species